UACGUAGGGUGCAAGCGUUAUCCGGAAUUAUUGGGCGUAAAGAGCUCGUAGGCGGUUUUGUCGCGUCUGCUGUGAAAACUGGAGGCUCAACCUCCAGCCUGCAGUGGGUACGGGCAAACUAGAGUGCGGUAGGGGAGAUUGGAAUUCCUGGUGUAGCGGGUGGAAUGCGCAGAUAUCAGGAGGAACACCGAUGGCGAAGGCAGGAUCUCUGGGCCAAUUACUCUGAGGAGCGAAAAGCUGGGGGAGCGAACAGG
rnacentral:rRNA from 1 species